UACGUAGGCAGCAAGCGUUGUUCGGAGUUACUGGGCGUAAAGGGUGUGUAGGCGGUUGGAUAAGUGUGGUGUGAAAUCUCCCGGCUCAACUGGGAGGGUGCGCUACAAACUGUCUGACUAGAGUGUGGGAUGGGAAAGUGGAAUUCCUGGUGUAGCGGUGAAAUGCGUAGAUAUCAGGAGGAACACCGGUGGUGUAGACGGCUUUCUGGACCAUAACUGACGCUGAGACACGAAAGCGUGGGUAGCAAACAGG
rnacentral:rRNA from 1 species